GUGGUGCCGGCGGUGGGCUGCAGCAGCCAGUGUCGCGCUGUAUUUCAGUGCCCUGCACUGUGACCUGAACUUCCACACACCCCAAAUGAAGGCGCGGGGAGGGGAGACAGUGACGUGGGUUGGGUUUUUCUGGAACGGCCCUUGCAGCCAACAGCUUACUGGCUGCGGGGACCCAUCUUUUGUCAGUCUCCCUGGAGACCGGAUGCGGCAAAGUAUAGCCUUUGCGCAGUGCUGGCAUUUGUAUGAAAUGCGGGUUGCUUUUUUCCCUAGGGGGUUUGUCCGCUGGAGCCUGAGCACCUGUAAGGGGAUGCUGGAGUCUUGGGAAGGAAGGUGACUGCUAAGCAGAGAAGACCCAGCGUGAGCGUUGGCCAGAACGCGUGGCCCUCGCAGCCUCAGCUCAGGUCAAGAUGCAGAGGCCGGGAAGGAUGUGAGCUCUGCU